rnacentral:rRNA from 1 species
UACGUAGGGACCAAGCGUUGUUCGGAUUUACUGGGCGUAAAGGGCGCGUAGGCGGCAAUUCAAGUCAGCUGUGAAAUCUCUGGGCUUAACCCAGAACGGCCAGCUGAUACUGCUUUGCUAGAGUGCAGAAGGGGCAAUCGGAAUUCUUGGUGUAGCGGUGAAAUGCGUAGAUAUCAAGAGGAACAUCUGAGGUGAAGACGGGUUGCUGGGCUGACACUGACGCUGAGGCGCGAAAGCCAGGGGAGCAAACGGG